GCCGGCCGAGACUUCUGGAUGGCGGCGGCCGCGGCUCCGCCCCGGGUUCCCACCGCCUGAAGGGCGAGACAAGCCCGACCUGCUACAGGUGUGGAAACAGGAAGAGAACUAGAACUGGAAGUAAAGCAUUGAAGAUGUGACUGAAUUGCUGCAAUCUCAUGAUCAAAUUUGAAUGGAUGAGGAGUUGCUUUUUAGGGAUGAGCAAAGAAAGUGGUUUCUCGAGAUGGAAUCUACUGGUGAAGUUGCUGUGAACAUUGUUAAAAUGCCAAUAAAGGAUUUAGGAAUUACAGAAACCUGGUUGAUAAAGCAGUGCCAGGGUGUGAGAGAGUUGACUUCAAUUUUGAAAUAAGUUCCACUGGCUGGGUGUGGUGGCUCACACCUGCAAUCCCAGUACUUUAGGAGGCCGAGACUGGUAGAUCAUUUGAGGUCAGGAGUUCAAGACCAGCCUUGCCAACAUGGUGAAACCCCACCUCUACCAAAUUAGCCAGGUGUGGUGCACACCUGUAGUCCCAGCUACUUGGGAAGCUGAGGCAG
rnacentral:lncRNA from 1 species